AGCAUAGUGCAGCAUAGCACAGCUACCAGCACUGCACGGCACCCAGCACAACAUCCAGCACAGCACAGCACCCACCAGGCCUGACUCCCUGCACAGUGGGGACACAGCAAGACAGAACCUCAGGGAUGGGCAACCCUGCUGUGAGAAUUUCACCAAGCAUUCAAGUUCUAAUUACCUGACUUAUACCACCAACUUCCUGGGAGCCCAAACAUGACCCAUCUGAAGAAAACCUCAGAACAGCAACAGUUAAAUGUUCAGGUAUCUGGUUUCUAUCCCUCCUUAGCAGAAAAAAAACCCAGAAGAUGAGCAGACCUUGAAUGAACUGAAAUCUAAAGCUUUUAGGAACAGAGGAAAUAAAGAGCAAUGAGCUGGGGGUAUGAAGAAGCCUGUGGUGCUGCCCUGCUUCGCACUGUCUGCAAGGCCAUGCUGAGAUCCGAGAGGACUUUCCAGGUAGCUGUAAUCUAUAUUUGCUCUUUGGACUUAUGCCGUGCUCAGCUUGCCUGGUAUUUGAGAAUGUGUGCCAGAAGGUUCAAACACCAAAGCUUUAAUCCCCAGCAGUAACAUGUAAAUAGCCUCUACCUUUACGUUCAGGUUCAAAAAACAAAGCAGCCUUUUCUUUUCUUCCCUACUACCAAUUCAUUUAGGAGGUGAAAAAGAAAGAAGCAAUGA